UACGUAGGGGGCAAGCGUUGUCCGGAAUCAUUGGGCGUAAAGAGCGUGUAGGCGGCCCGGUCAGUCCGCCGUGAAAGUCCAGGGCUCAACCCUGGAAUGCCGGUGGAUACUGCCGGGCUGGAGUCCGGAAGAGGCGAGUGGAAUUCCUGGUGUAGCGGUGAAAUGCGUAGAUAUCAAGAGGAACACCUGCGGCGAAGGCGGGUUGCUGGGCCGAUACUGACGCUGAGGAGCGAAAGCGUGGGGAGCGAACAGG
rnacentral:rRNA from 1 species